rnacentral:rRNA from 1 species
AACGCGAAGAACCUUACCUGGUCUUGACAUAGUAAGAACUUUCCAGAGAUGGAUUGGUGCCUUCGGGAACUUACAUACAGGUGCUGCAUGGCUGUCGUCAGCUCGUGUUGUGAAAUGUUGGGUUAAGUCCCGCAACGAGCGCAACCCUUAUCCUUUGUUGCCAGCGGUCCGGCCGGGAACUCAAAGGAGACUGCCAGUGAUAAACUGGAGGAAGGUGGGGAUGACGUCAAGUCAUCAUGGCCCUUACGACCAGGGCUACACACGUGCUACAAUGGCGCAUACAAAGAGAAGCGACCUCGCGAGAGCAAGCGGACCUCAUAAAGUGCGUCGUAGUCCGGAUUGGAGUCUGCAACUCGACUCCAUGAAGUCGGAAUCGCUAGUAAUCGUGGAUCAGAAUGCCACGGUGAAUACGUUCCCGGGUCUUGUACACACCG